CUCGUAGGCGGCUUGUCACGUCGGAUGUGAAAGCCCGGGGCUUAACCCCGGGUCUGCAUUCGAUACGGGCAGGCUAGAGUUCGGUAGGGGAGAUCGGAAUUCCUGGUGUAGCGGUGAAAUGCGCAGAUAUCAGGAGGAACACCGGUGGCGAAGGCGGAUCUCUGGGCCGAUACUGACGCUGAGGAGCGAAAGCGUGGGGAGCGAACA
rnacentral:rRNA from 1 species